rnacentral:rRNA from 1 species
UACAUGCAAGUCGAACGAGGAGCCUUUGUAUUCGUACGAGGGAUUUCCGAGUGGCGAACGAGUGAGUAACGCGUUGAUGACCUGCCCCAAAGCGGGGGAUAACAUUUCGAAAGAGAUGCUAAUACCCCAUGUGAUCAUUUGAAUUAGAACCUUAUGAUUAAAGGAGUAAUCCACUUUGGGAGGGAUCUGCGUCCCAUCAGCUAGUUGGUAAGGUAAUGGCUUACCAAGGCUACGACGGGUAGGGGACCUGAGAGGGUGACCCCCCACACUGGUACUGAAACACGGACCAGACACCUACGGGUGGCAGCAGUAGGGAAUAUUGCACAAUGGACGAAAGUCUGAUGCAGCAACGCCGCGUGUAUGAUGAAGGCCUUCGGGUCGUAAAAUACUUUUAUGAGGGAAGAGAAAGGACGGUACCUCAUGAAUAAGGAUCGGCUAACUACGUGCCAGCAGCCGCGGUAACACGUAGGAUCCAAGCGUUAUCCGGAUUUACUGGGCGUAAAGCGCGUGCAGGUGGUAUGGUAAGUUGGAUGUGAAAUCUCCCGGCUCAACUGGGAGAGGUCGUUCAAAACUGCCAAACUAGAGGACGGUAGAGGAAGGUGGAAUUCCGGGUGUAGUG